CUCCAAAAUCGAAGAGGCACCGCCCUCCGAAUCUCGAGAGCCAGACUCCCAACAUGAUUACUUUCUCAAAAAUCGAAGAGAGGGUAAAGGAACAGUACCACUGCUGGAUAAUUGGAAAGUCCCUGUGUGUCAACCUUUGUGCUCCGUGGCAAGGUAGACUAGCAAACAUGCCCAACCUUUACUCACAUUCGAGAAAACACUCCCAACAAGAUUGCUUGCUCCAAAAUCGAAGAGGCACUGCCCUCCGAAUCUCGAGAGCCAGACUCCCAACAUGAUUACUUUCUCAAAAAUCGAAGAGAGGGUAAAGGAACAAUACCACUGCUGGAUAAUCGGAAAGUCCCUGUGUGUCAACCUCUGUGCUUCGUGGCAAGGUAGACUAGCAAACAUGCCCAACCUUUACUCACAUUCGAGAAAACACUCCCAACAAGAUUGCUUGCUCCAAAAUCGAAGAGGCACCACCCUCCGAAUCUCGAGAGCCAGACUCCCAACAUGAUUACUUUCUCAAAAAUCGAAGAGACACCGCUCUCCGAAUCUCGAGAGCUAGACCCCCAGCAGGAUUGCUUUCUCAAAAAUCGAAGAGGCAUCGUUCUCCGAAUCUCGAGAGCCAGAUCCCCGACAGGAUUGCUUGUUCGAAAACCGAAGAGGCACCACUUUCCCAACUUCAAGAGAUGGAUCUCCUUGGAUACAGCUUGUCUGUAAUCUUCACACGCAACAUCAGCUUUCCAGAUACCACAGACCACUUUUUCAAAGUGAUCUGACAGAGUUAAAACAUGUG
rnacentral:lncRNA from 1 species